rnacentral:rRNA from 1 species
AGAGUUUGAUCAUGGCUCAGAUUGAACGCUGGCGGCAGGCCUAACACAUGCAAGUCGAGCGGAAACGAGUUAUCUGAACCUUCGGGGAACGAUAACGGCGUCGAGCGGCGGACGGGUGAGUAAUGCCUAGGAAAUUGCCUUGAUGUGGGGGAUAACCAUUGGAAACGAUGGCUAAUACCGCAUAAUGCCUACGGGCCAAAGAGGGGGACCUUCGGGCCUCUCGCGUCAAGAUAUGCCUAGGUGGGAUUAGCUAGUUGGUGAGGUAAUGGCUCACCAAGGCGACGAUCCCUAGCUGGUCUGAGAGGAUGAUCAGCCACACUGGAACUGAGACACGGUCCAGACUCCUACGGGAGGCAGCAGUGGGGAAUAUUGCACAAUGGGCGAAAGCCUGAUGCAGCCAUGCCGCGUGUAUGAAGAAGGCCUUCGGGUUGUAAAGUACUUUCAGUUGUGAGGAAGGGGGUGUCGUUAAUAGCGGCAUCUCUUGACGUUAGCAACAGAAGAAGCACCGGCUAACUCCGUGCCAGCAGCCGCGGUAAUACGGAGGGUGCGAGCGUUAAUCGGAAUUACUGGGCGUAAGGCGCAUGCAGGUGGUUCAUUAAGUCAGAUGUGAAAGCCCGGGGCUCAACCUCGGAACUGCAUUUGAAACUGGUGAACUAGAGUACUGUAGAGGGGGGUAGAAUUUCAGGUGUAGCGGUGAAAUGCGUAGAGAUCUGAAGGAAUACCAGUGGCGAAGGCGGCCCCCCUGGACAGAUACUGACACUCAGAUGCGAAAGCGUGGGGAGCAAACAGGAUUAGAUACCCUGCUAGUGCACGCCGUAAACGAUGUCUACUUGGAGGUUGUGGCCCUGAGCCGUGGCUUUCGGAGCUAACGCGUUAAGUAGACCGCCUGGGGAGUACGGUCGCAAGAUUAAAACUCAAAUGAAUUGACGGGGGCCC